rnacentral:rRNA from 1 species
GAUGAACGCUGGCGGCGUGCUUAACACAUGCAAGUCGAACGAGAAGUGAAGACGGAAACCUUCGGGCGGAAGGCUUUAUUUCGAGUGGCGGACGGGUGAGUAACGCGUGGGUAACCUGCCUCAUACAGGGGGAUAACAGUUGGAAACGACUGUUAAUACCGCAUAAGACCACAGCACCGCAUGGUGCGGGGGUAAAAACUCCGGUGGUAUGAGAUGGACCCGCGUUCGAUUAGCCAGUUGGCGGGGUAACAGCCCACCAAAGCGACGAUCGAUAGCCGAUCUGAGAGGAUGACCGGCCACAUUGGGACUGAGACACGGCCCAAACUCCUACGGGAGGCAGCAGUGGGGAAUAUUGCACAAUGGGGGAAACCCUGAUGCAGCGACGCCGCGUGAGUGAAGAAGUAUUUCGGUAUGUAAAGCUCUAUCAGCAGGGAAGAAAAUGACGGUACCUGAGUAAGAAGCCCCGGCUAACUACGUG